UACGUAGGGUGCAAGCGUUAAUCGGAAUUACUGGGCGUAAAGCGUGCGCAGGCGGUUUGCUAAGACAGGUGUGAAAUCCCCGGGCUUAACCUGGGAACUGCGCUUGUUACUGGCAGGCUUGAGUGUGGCAGAGGGGGGUGGAAUUCCACGUGUAGCAGUGAAAUGCGUAGAGAUGUGGAGGAACACCGAUGGCGAAGGCAGCCCCCUGGGCUAACACUGACGCUCAUGCACGAAAGCGUGGGGAGCAAACAGG
rnacentral:rRNA from 1 species